rnacentral:rRNA from 1 species
UACGUAGGGGGCAAGCGUUGUCCGGAUUCAUUGGGCGUAAAGAGCGUGUAGGCGGCCAGGUAGGUCGGUUGUGAAAACUGGAGGCUCAACCUUCAGAGGUCGACCGAAACCAUCUGGCUAGAGUCCGGGAGAGGAGAGUGGAAUUCCUGGUGUAGCGGUGAAAUGCGCAGAUAUCAGGAAGAACACCCGUGGCGAAAGCGGCUCUCUGGAACGGUACUGACGCUGAUACGCGAAAGCGUGGGGAGCAAACCGG